GAGGAAGUAAAAGUCGUAACAAGGUUUCCGUAGGUGAACCUGCGGAAGGAUCAUUAUCGAGUUUUGAAACGGGUUGUCGCUGGCCUUUUACAAGGCAUUGUGCACGCCUGGCUCAUCCACUCUUCAACCACUGUGCACUCUUUGUAGGAAAAAAAAAUGGGUUUGAAGCUGGCGCAAGUCAGUAGAUGCCUCUUUUCUUUCCUAUGUUUUUAUUACAAACGCUUCAGUUAUAGAAUGUUUACUUGCAGAUAAUGCAUUUAUAUACAACUUUCAGCAACGGAUCUCUUGGCUCUCGCAUCGAUGAAGAACGCAGCGAAAUGCGAUAAGUAAUGUGAAUUGCAGAAUUCAGUGAAUCAUCGAAUCUUUGAACGCACCUUGCGCUCCUCGGUAUUCCGAGGAGCAUGCCUGUUUGAGUAUCAUGGAAUUCUCAACUCCUAAAUUUUUGUUAUCAAAAGUUUAGUGAGCUUGGAUUUGGAGGCUGUGUCGGCUCUAGUCAGUCGACUCCUCUGAAAUGCAUUAGUGUGAAUCUUACUGAUCGCCUUCAGUGUGAUAAUUGUCUACGCUGUGGCUGUGAAGUAAUUUAUGUAUUCAUGCUUAUAACUGUCUCUUCUAGAGACAAUUAUUUUAUGACUUCUGAUCUCAAAUCAGGUAGGACUACCCGCUGAACUUAAGCAUAUCA
rnacentral:rRNA from 1 species